rnacentral:misc_RNA from 1 species
UGAUAAGUUAGAGUGGGAGUUUGAGGGGGACAUGCUUGCUGCCUUUGGUAAGGAUCCUGAAUUAUGUAUGAAGGCGGUUUGUGUUUUGUAUAGGCAGCAAACAUCUGAGGAGCAAUGUUGUAAAGGAACAAUAGAUCACAAUCAAAGAGGUUUUAGCCACUGUGAUGCCUUCAGGGGAAGUACCUUGGCUGAAUUUCUUACUGAUGGAGA